rnacentral:snRNA from 1 species
GUGCUUGCUUUGGCAGCACACAUACUAAAAUUGGAAUGAUUCAGAGAAGAUUAGUGUGGCCCCUGUACAAGGAUGACACGCAAAUUUGUGAAGCAUUCCAUAGUUUU